rfam:Colletotrichum gloeosporioides Nara gc5 unplaced genomic scaffold scaffold557, whole genome shotgun sequence.
GGGCGAAUGGUUUAGUGGUAUAAUACUCGCUUAGCAUCGGAUGAUUCCAUCGUCCAAUAUGUGAGUGGUCCAGGGUUCGAUUCCCUGUUCGUCCA